UAUUCCUAACGAUUUUCCCAUAACAAAACUAAAAACUUUGUAAAGAUUUCCAAGGAAUUGAACCGGCCGUAACCUACACUCAAUCCCUCAAGCUUCUCUAAUCAUGCGGUUCUCACACAACCCCAGUCUUCAUCUUCCUUCCCUCAACAAUCUUUCUCUCGUAAUUCAUCAUCUCAUCACAAUUUCCUCCCCUAAAACCUCUAAGUAAUCCUGCAAUUCUCACAAGUCACAACCAGUCAUCCUCUCUCAAGAUCUAUUAGAGCAGUACGCUCAUCAUCUCCAGCAAUUCAUCAUCUUACAAACGCGCAAUAACUGCUGGUUUUCUACGCAAAGCGAACACAAAAAAAGAAGUUAAGGCAUUUCUUUGAUUCGUGAAACUUAAGUGUUAAUCUUAAUUUUUUGUGUUUCCGUUAUUAUUAUUUUUUCUCUGUUAUCAGAUUUGGCGUUUUUAUCUAAAACUUAUUGAAUUGAUAUGAUUGAGUUAAGUGUUAGAUUAGAAUAAACUUAUAUACGAUGGGUGUAUAGAUGUUGAUGAGUCGAUGGUGGAUGAGCCAAUUGAGACCCUUAAGAGGUGAAGAAUUUGCCUUCUUUUAUAUUCAGUUUGUUGUUCAUAAGGUAUUUGAUGAAAUGCUUGUGAGAGGUUGUUGUGUUUUUUGUUGUUGUUGUUGAGAUAAUUGUCCUGUGAAAGUUUGUAUAACAUUGAUUUGUUCUAUAAUUAAUGCCCAAAUUUUGUGUCUUGGAGACCUUGAAAAAGCGUUGGUGGCAACUAAUUUUGGAUGGUAAGAGUAAUAACAUUUCCAUUAACACUUUCAGGUGUUGUAGUAAUAGGAUUGGUAUCUGAAGAUUAGAUUUGGGUUAAAAAUGCUCAUUUUAGGGGAAGAUUUGUGUAAGUGCUAGUUGUAUAUUGCUUUGGAAAGUAGACAGUUUGACGAGGUUAGAAGAUUUAUGGUAGUACUUAGAAUGUAGACAGUUUGACGAGGUUAGAAGUAUUAUGGUAGUGCCUAGAAUGUAGACAGUUUGACGAGGUUAGAAGAGUUAUCGUAGUGCCUAGUAGGAUAUUGGCUUUUAAGGAGGCUGGUAUUCGUUAGACGCUGAAGAUGAAGAUUACAUAUUUUCUGGGUGGCUGGUAGUGGAGCAUAAGUAAUUUAGUGACUACAAUGACAUGAAGAGUAUUACAACAGAAUUUCAACACUGUUACCUUAUUGCAUUAACCUUAACAGAUGUUUAUAUCUAGCAGAGGUGACAAAGCUUUUGUAAUUGAUGUCUAAAAUUUUGCUUUCCCACGUUGAUAUUUUCCUUGAAUGUUCUUCAAAAUUAUUCAAAAAAAAUAAGAGCAAUGUUUUUUGUGUAAGACUAAACUUCUAAAUCUUCUUAUCUGUACACUAUUGAUCACAGGAAAGAAUUUUCCCUUCAGGAGCUGAACUAAUUUGGUAUUGACAACAACCAUGUAGUAUCAGAGUAUCUUCCAGAACACAACUGAAGGAGCUGCCGCCGAAACUGUAUAUGGUACUGAUAAAAAUGUCUGAAAGCACAAAAUAUAGAAUUAGCUCAAAACAGGAUCAAGUAAGAUUAUCUUUACAUUACAAAAAAUUCAAAGUAUGAUGUCUCAUAUAUUUAGUUUGUGAAUGCGAUAUGACUAACUGAGAUGGUUUAUAACUCAAAACUCUGAACUUCAGUACUAAUUUUGGACAAGGGCUAUGCAGUAAUCAAAUUCUCUAAAUUUGGCUUUUUACAUGCAGCAUCUAUAUCUUUCCUUGGAAGAGUAUGUCAUAUUUUGCUAAGAUAAUUAGACACCUUUACAAAGUUAACGAAGCAUGUACUUGGUUUUACCCUUAUAGUAGGGAUUGUAUACCCUGCUAUACUCAUGUGCCAAUUGAUGCAUAACAACAGAGAACAGACUCUAUCAAGAAUUGUGUUGAUAACUCUUGAUUUUGUCUUAACUCUCUAUACUAGAUCAGGACUUGAUGUGUAAAAUCUGUAGUGAUUUGUUGUCUUAACUCUCCAAAGUAGAUCAGGACUUGAUGUGUAAGAUCAGUAGUGCUUUGUAUCAUUUUUUUUACUGAAAACCCAAUGCCUUCAGUAACGUUACAGAUUGGUCCAAUUAUUAGUAAGUUUUUGCUGAGAAGCCAUAAAACAGUUGUCGCCUGUUUGCCUAUGUAUGUUACUCCUAUAUAGUUUAAUUUGUUAUGAUCCACUUAUUCUAGUUACUUUGAAUCUUGUAUUAAUCAUUCUCGUGUUCUCCCAGAUGUGACUCAAUUUGAUAUAGAUUGAUGUGACUGAACAGUACGUAGGUUCAGCUUGUACGCUGCAACAGGUCUGAAUCAUGUAUCUCUGAUUGCCACAUAAUUGAAAGGUGCUUUUACUUGAUGGAAACAGCUUCUUUUCUCAACAACAACGGGUUAACCUCUUAUUGGCAUUGCUGAAAUAUGUAUCAACAUUAAAUUGGCCAUGUAGAUAGCGGUUUAACCGGUACGGAGUAUUUACUAUUAUUAGUAAAUUAGUACUCUGUAUCAUAUAUAUAGGAAUCAAGGAUUCAGUAUCAGAAAAAUCUUGUUCGCUUCAGCGGGUGGUGGAUUAGAUAGCGUGCAAGUAAAAGGACAUAUAUUUGUGACUUAUCGAACUUGGCAAGCCAAGAACAAAGGAUCUUUCAAGUCUCUAAGAUGGAAAUAAAUUACGUAAGAUUUAAUUAGUUUGAUUAUUAUUUUUAUCGUAAUUUUAUUCAUAUAUGUGUUAAUCUUUAAUUUAAUGUGUAUUAUGUUUGUGUCUUAUUGUUCUCGCCAACCGAAAAUGCUUGAAUGUGGCUAUUACGUCAUGAGUACAUGUAUCAAAUAGUUUUACUUGAAUUACAAAGUAUUGGUAAUCUGGAAGAGGUACGUGUAUUUUUGUUAUUAUAGGUGUAUCUCAUUUUUUUACUAUGCGCUAACUUUUAAGUUUUAUCCUAACUUUACUAAUUAUACAUUAUUUUGUUGAAGUACAGAUAUUUUCUGCAAACUCGUCGUACACUCAAGAGGAGAUUGAUGAUGUUCGAGAAAAAUGGAGCAGAUAUUUUUUAGUAGUUGUUUGUAGUCAUUGUCUCGUUUUCAAAGAUAGAAAACUAUAACAAAUUGUAGGUUAAUUUUUUGGAAUACAUUAUUUAUACUUGUUAAACCAACUUUCUUGUUUGAAUUAAUAAAAAUUCUUUUCGCAA